rnacentral:lncRNA from 1 species
AUUAACCUUAUGGUUACCCCUUAGCCUUAACUAACCUUGAGGUUAAUUCUUAAAGGUUAAAGUCAUAAGGAUAAGAUCUUAAUCCAACAUACUUCUAAGAUGAAAAGACAUCUUACUCCAGUACCAAUUCACCAUGAAACACCAGGAAGGACAGGCUGGAGAGCUGGCUUGAGACGCUUUCAGAGAACCUGAGUUCAGUUCCCUGUGCUUCCUGGCAGUUUACAACUCUCUGACACUCCAGUUCCAGGAGGUCUGACUCUGCUACAGCAAGAACAGAACUCAAACAUCAUCCCAAACAGCUGCUGUGAGAGCACCGCCAAAGGACCACUCUCUUUG